UGCCGCAUGGCUCAGUGGUAGAGCGCCCGGACAGUCCGACAUGUGGACGACGGGAAGGUCGGGGGUUCGAUUCCUCCCUGUGGCAG